rnacentral:rRNA from 1 species
UACAGAGGUCUCAAGCGUUGUUCGGAUUCAUUGGGCGUAAAGGGUGCGUAGGCGGCGCGGUAAGUCGGGUGUGAAAUCUUGGAGCUUAACUCCGAAACUGCAUUCGAUACUGCCGUGCUUGAGGACUGGAGAGGAGACUGGAAUUUACGGUGUAGCGGUGAAAUGCGUUGAUAUCGAUAGGAACUCCGGUGGCGAAGGCGGCAUACUGGAUCACUUCUGACGCUGAGGCGCGAAAGCCAGGGGAGCAAACGGG